rnacentral:rRNA from 1 species
UACGGAGGAUCCAAGCGUUAUCCGGAUUUAUUGGGUUUAAAGGGUGCGUAGGCGGCCUUGUAAGUCAGGGGUGAAAGACGGUAGCUUAACUAUCGCAGUGCCUUUGAUACUGCAGGGCUUGAAUGGACUAGAGGUAGGCGGAAUGUGACAAGUAGCGGUGAAAUGCAUAGAUAUGUCACAGAACACCAAUUGCGAAGGCAGCUUACUAGGGUUUUAUUGACGCUGAGGCACGAAAGCGUGGGGAUCAAACAG